rnacentral:rRNA from 1 species
GAGGUCCAUUCUGCCCUAUGCCCUACGGGGUAAAUGGCCGCGGUAGCCUGACCGUGCUAAGGUAGCAUAAUCAUUUGCCGUUUAAUUGAUGGCUGGAAUGAAUGAAUAUACGAGAGCUCAACUGUCUCAUUUUUACAAAUAUAAAUUGACCCUCAAGUGAAGAGACUUGAAUUCUUAAAAAAGACGAAAAGACCCUAUAGAGCUUUACCUGAAAUUUAUAUCUCAUAUAAUAAAGGUUUAGUUGGGGCAACUAGAGAGCACCUAAAACCUCUCUUUAAAUUUACUAAUAGUGAUCCGUUUUUACGAUAAGUAGAAAAAGCUACCUUAGGGAUAACAGGCUAAUUCUCUUUAAGAGACCAUAUUGACAAGAGGGAUUGGCACCUCGAUGUUGGCUCAAGGUUACAGUUUGAUGCAGCAGUCAAACAAAGUAGGUUUGUUCACCCUUUAAAUCCUUACGUGAUCUGAGUCAGACCGG